rnacentral:piRNA from 1 species
UGAGAAAUGAAAACAUAAGCUCAGCCUAGCCA